GACGAACGCUGGCGGCGUGCUUAACACAUGCAAGUCGAACGGUGAUGCUCCAGCUUGCUGGCGUGGAUCAGUGGCGAACGGGUGAGUAACACGUGAGCAACCUGCCCCAGACUCUGGAAUAAGCGCUGGAAACGGCGUCUAAUACUGGAUACGAAACUGGCCCGCAUGGGCAUGGUUUGGAAAGUUUUUCGGUUUGGGAUGGGCUCGCGGCCUAUCAGCUUGUUGGUGAGGUAAUGGCUCACCAAGGCGACGACGGGUAGCCGGCCUGAGAGGGCGACCGGCCACACUGGGACUGAGACACGGCCCAGACUCCUACGGGAGGCAGCAGUGGGGAAUAUUGCACAAUGGGCGAAAGCCUGAUGCAGCGACGCCGCGUGAGGGAUGACGGCCUUCGGGUUGUGAACCUCUUUCAGCAGGGAAGAAGCGAAAGUGACGGUACCUGCAGAAGAAGCACCGGCUAACUACGUG
rnacentral:rRNA from 1 species